GCUGGCCAAAGGACCCCAGAGACCUUCUGCAAGACCAGGAGCUGCUGCAGCCCAGCCUGUUCCUUCCUCUCUUCUUCCCGCUGCCUGGAUUUCCAAGGCUCAGCCCUGCCCUCCCUCCUGCUGGCUGCCUGUGUGGCACAGUUGCCUCCCCGGCAGGCAGCCCCCGACACAGGUGCUAAUGACAGUCUCCUGCAGCCCUGGCAGACAGCGAGGGUAUCUGCCCGAGCUCUGCCAUCAUCUCGAGCAGCAAACCAGCUCUAACCAGCAGGAUUGUCGCCUGUGCUGUGUCAGGCCAGCUCGUGCUGUCUGCCAGCUGCUUGUUGCGCUGCUCUGGGGACUGGGAACACGCCCAGCCCCAGUCCCCAUCUGUUGCAGGCAUGAAGAUCACCGGAGCUCCUGGGAGCAUCCGAACCUUAGAAACGGCCUGAGCUGAAGGGGUCAGGAAACCCCUUCUUGGAUUGGCCUUUGGAAGGUGAAAGCAGGAUUUGUUAGAGCGGAGAGAGCAGCUUGUCGCCGCUACCCAUCCCACCAGCCAGCAUCUCACAGCCCAGCAUCCGGAAGAGGUGACCUUGGGACCCCUCCAGGCUGAGACCUGAGUUCCUUUGCCAUGCCCCUCCUGGAUGGAGAUGUGGAGAACUCAGAGAAGCAUUCUUCUCGGAAGGAGUCCCCUCCACGCUCUCCACGCCGGAUGAGCUUCAGUGGGAUCUUCCGCUCCUCAUCCAAAGAGUCUUCGCCCAACUCCAAC